rnacentral:misc_RNA from 1 species
UUAAGUUAUUUGUUAUAUUACUCAGACAACACAAAAAUCAAGAGUUUAGGGUUCUCUGGCAGGCACAGACCAGCCUAAGCCGGUGGUCAAAAGACGGGCCUGCCAAAGCAACAAAGGUAAUAUAAACAAAGGGUGGGAGAUCUACCCCAAGGGGCAAUUUCUCUGUAAUGAUCCUUCCGCAGGUUCACCUACGGAAA